rnacentral:rRNA from 1 species
GUGGCGAAGGCGGCUGUCUAGUCUGUAACUGACGCUGAGGCUCGAAAGCAUGGGUAGCGAACAGGAUUAGAUACCCUGGGUAGUCCAUGCCGUAAACGAUGAGUGCUAGGUGUUGGAGGGUUUCCGCCCUUCAGUGCCGCAGCUAACGCAUUAAGCAUUCCGCCUGGGGAGUACGGCCGCAAGGUUGAAACUCAAAGGAAUUGACGGGGGCCCGCACAAGCGGUGGAGCAUGUGGUUUAAUUCGAAGCUACGCGAAGAACCUUACCAGGUCUUGACAUACUAUGCAAAUCUUAGAGAUAAGACGUUCCCUUCGGGGACAUGGAUACAGGUGGUGCAUGGUUGUCGUCAGCUCGUGUCGUGAGAUGUUGGGUUAAGUCCCGCAACGAGCGCAACCCUUAUUAUCAGUUGCCAGCAUUAAGUUGGGCACUCUGGUGAGACUGCCGGUGACAAACCGGAGGAAGGUGGGGAUGACGUCAAAUCAUCAUGCCCCUUAUGACCUGGGCUACACACGUGCUACAAUGGACGGUACAACGAGUCGCGAAGUCGUGAGGCUAAGCUAAUCUCUUAAAGCCGUUCUCAGUUCGGAUUGUAGGCUGCAACUCGCCUACAUGAAGUUGGAAUCGCUAGUAAUCGCGGAUCAGCAUGCCGCGGUGAACACGUUCCCGGGCCUUGUACACACCGCCCGUCACACCAUGAGAGUUUGUAACACCCAAAGCCGGUGAGAUAACCUUCGGG